rnacentral:rRNA from 1 species
GAUGAACGCUAGCGGCAGGCCUAACACAUGCAAGUCGAGGGGUAGAGGAAGCUUGCUUCCUUGAGACCGGCGCACGGGUGCGUAACGCGUAUGCAAUUUACCUUUUACAGGGGGAUAGCCCAGAGAAAUUUGGAUUAAUACCCCAUAGUAUGUUAGAGUGGCAUCAUUUUAACAUUAAAGUUCCAACGGUAAAAGAUGAGCAUGCGUCCCAUUAGCUAGAUGGUAAGGUAACGGCUUACCAUGGCGACGAUAGGUAGAGGUCCUGAGAGGGAGAUCCCCCACACUGGUACUGAGACACGGACCAGACUCCUACGGGAGGCAGCAGUGAGGAAUAUUGGACAAUGGGCGCAAGCCUGAUCCAGCCAUGCCGCGUGCAGGAAGACGGUCCUAUGGAUUGUAAACUGCUUUUGUACGGGAAGAAACACUCCUACGUGUAGGAGCUUGACGGUACCGUAAGAAUAAGGAUCGGCUAACUCCGUGCCAGCCGCCGCCGUAAGAC